GGGUGCAAUGGCUUGCUUUUUUUUCCCUAGAAAAGUGUUAGGGGAACAGAGCUCCACGAAUGGAACAUAUGGAGGUGGGAUUUUACUGUGUUAAGCUUGCGCUCCACUUUUUUCUUCUGUCUCUAAUUAUUAUUGGGUUGGGUUAUUAUUAUUACAUUUAAUGGGGAAUCUUAGAGUAGAAAAAAAUCAAGAAUCUACUGUCUUCACAGAACUUAUUUUUAUAUUGUAAACCCUUGAGCCUUUUGACUUCAACACCAGUUCACACAAAACCAAAUUAAUCUAUUAAACCAACAAAUGCAAAACCCUCCAAAAUAACAAGUGGUUAUUUCAGACCACAGGUAGAAUAAAUAAAAUCUUAAAUGUUUGAAACGUUUGUUUGUUUGUUUGUUUGUUUUUGAUAAAAAUCAUUACCCUUGAGGAUGCCUCUACCAAAAAUUAAGAAUGUCAUAAAUUUUGGUAACUAACAAUGUAGCUUUCUCUCCAGUUAAAAUUUUCAUCUUUAGAUGAUCUAAGAAUGAAAAAAAGCACAGAGUCUGUAGUUUUUUUUUGAAAUGUCACCACAUUUGUUGUUGUUGUUGUUAAUGGCAGUGAAGUGCUAUUUCAUAAGCUUGACAUUGUAAGUGUUCUUCUAAAUUAAACUCUGGGAUUUGUUAUUUCAGACUUCCUGUUCAGCAAGCCCCAAGCCUCGUGACAGGACUUCUGCUCUGUUUACCAAUAGUGUGAGUCAGGGCUUGUGGUUGUGGCACAGUCAGCCCCACAGCAGCUUUAUCUCCUCUGACUUGAGGGAAGCCACCAAUGGACUGGAAGGGGAAUCUGGAAGAUCCAUUGGUCCUGAGACUUCAACUCUGCAUGCUGUGAUUGCUUUGGCUCUGACCUCGAGGAAUGAAUGUUUUCUGACUUCUGCGUAAAGGCUAGAAGACAAAGAAGAGGUGAGGAGACAAGUGUUACUGGUCUUCUCGACAAAUGAGGAGAGAUUGAAAUCCAGGAGUAUAAGGACAUUGGGAAAUUUAUGCGACUUGUAAGUACCAGGGACAGACUAGGACUGUGGGCCGUUCUCAAAUAUACACCUAGAUCAAUAAUGGUUUCAAUCUCUUAAUUUUUAGGAGAGAUUUCUGAUGGGGAUUUCAAGAAUCAAGAUAAGCUCUCAGAGGCUUUAUCUCUGAUUAGGGCUUUAUUCCAGUGGGUAGGGCUCUAUUUUUUUAAACUUGCUUUUUAAUGAAGUAAACACUUUGUGAAGCUUUCUUUCUUUCUUUUUUUUUUAAUUUUCCCACUGUACAGCAAGGGGAUCAAGUUAUCCUUACAUGUAUACAUUACAAUUACAUUUUUUCCCCCACCCUUUGUUCUGUUGCAACAUGAGUGUCUGGACAUAGUUCUCAAUGCUAUUCAGCAGGAUCUCCUUGUAAAUCUAUUCUAAGUUGUGUCUGAUAAGCCCAAGCUCCCGAUCCCUCCCACUCCUUCCCCCUCCCAUCAGGCAGCCACAAGUAUUUUCUCCAAGUCUAUGAUUUUCUUUUCUGAGGAGAUGCUCAUUUGUGCUGGAUAUUAGAUUCCAGUUAUAAGUGAUAUCAUAUGGUAUUCGUCUUUGUCUUUCUGGCUCAUUGCACUCAGUAUGAGAUUCUCUAG
rnacentral:lncRNA from 1 species